rnacentral:rRNA from 1 species
GAUGAACGCUAGCGGCAGGCCUAACACAUGCAAGUCGAGGGGCAGCACAGAAACAGCAAUGUUUUGGUGGCGACCGGCGGACGGGUGCGUAACGCGUAUGCAACCUACCUUUAACAGGGGGAUAACGGAGAGAAAUUUCCACUAAUACCCCAUAACAUCGAUCAAGGCAUCUUGAUUGGUUGAAAACUCCGGUGGUUAAAGAUGGGCAUUCGUUGUAUUAGGUAGUUGGUGAGGUAAUGGCUCACAAAGCCUACGAUACAUAGGGGGACUGAGAGGUUAGCCCCCCACACUGGUACUGAGACACGGACCAGACUCCUACGGGAGGCAGCAGUGAGGAAUAUUGGUCAAUGGGGGCAACCCUGAACCAGCCAUGCCGCGUGCAGGAAGACGGCUCUAUGAGUUGUAAACUGCUUUUAAACAGGGAUAAAGCACAGUAUGUAUACUGUGUUGAAGGUACUGUAAGAAUAAGGAUCGGCUAACUCCGUGCCAGCCGCCGCGGUAA